CCCAGUAAAUGUCAUAAACUCUGGAUAUAUUUUCCCUGUAUGUUGACAUGAUAAUGGUAGCAUUUCCCAGACCGCUCUUAGCACUAAGAGCUUCUUAGGAACGCUCUUAGGUGUCUGUUUUAUGAAGAUCGAUUUUGUUUUUGUUUUUUUGACCCUCCCCGAAACUACACAUAUUAGCCAUGUUUCCCACUUAAGACCGAUCUUAAGACUUAAGAGCACAGUUAAGAAUGUCUUAGCUAAGAAGGGUUGCUAAGAUAAGAGUGUUUUCCAGAUGCGUUCUUAAUGCCCUUCUUAGGAUCACUCUUAAGUACGCUCUUUAAGAAGCUCUUAACAGGAGCUGGCUGUUGCAGCCACAGCUUGGCCUCCAGUUUUUUCCUUGUGUUUCCCCUACCCUUGUGUCCCCUGUGCUCCUGUCUGUUUCUCUGUCUGUGUCUGUGUGGUGGGCGUGGCGCUCCUCUGCUUCCGGCUCCCUGGUCACUGCUGAUUUGACACACCUGUUCCAAGCCAGUCACCUGCAAACCAUCAGCUCAUCAGCCCUGCAGUAUAUCUACCCCAGUUUUCCAGCCGCUCAUCGCCAGAUUGUUUCACUGCUGCGAUCCAUCACCUGCUCAUCCAGCUGCCAGCCACUUACCUGCACGUCCGCCUCUCCACAUCACUGCUGCCUUCAUCUACUGUGGAUCUCCUUGCCCUUGCCAUCAGCCCUCCAUCCAAUACCCCCCCUCUACAAUAAAAGACUUUAUAUCAACAACA